UCGAGAAUCUUUCGCAAUGGACGCAAGUCUGACGAAGCGACGCCGUGUGUGCGAUGAAGGCCUUCGGGUUGUAAAGCACUUUCGCUUGUGAACAAGGAAUAUUAGCUAAUAACUAGUAAACUUGAGAGUAGCAGGUAAAGAAGCACCGGCUAACUCCGUGCCAGCAGCUGCGGUAAUACGGAGGGUGCAAGCAUUAAUCGGAAUUAUUGGGCGUGAAGAGCGCGUAGGUGGAAAAGAAAGUUAGAUGUGAAAGCUUGGAGCUUAACUCCAAAAUUGCGUUUAAUACUUCUUUUCUAGAGGAUGGGCAGAGAAAGUGGAAUUCCACAUGUAGCGGUGAAAUGCGUAGAUAUGUGGAAGAACACCGGUGGCGAAGGCGACUUUCUGGCUUAUUCCUGACACUAAGGCGCGAAAGCAAGGGGAGCAAACA
rnacentral:rRNA from 1 species